UACGUAGGGUGCAAGCGUUGUCCGGAAUUAUUGGGCGUAAAGAGCUUGUAGGCGGUUUGUCGCGUCUGCUGUGAAAUUUCGGGGCUCAACCCCGAACUUGCAGUGGGUACGGGCAGACUAGAGUGUGGUAGGGGAGACUGGAAUUCCUGGUGUAGCGGUGAAAUGCGCAGAUAUCAGGAGGAACACCGAUGGCGAAGGCAGGUCUCUGGGCCACUACUGACGCUGAGAAGCGAAAGCAUGGGGAGCGAAUAGG
rnacentral:rRNA from 1 species